GCCGGGCGUGGUAGUGCACGCUGUGAUCCCAGCUACUCUUGGAGGCUGAGAUGGGAGGAUCACUUGAGCCCAGGAAGGUCAAGGCUGCAGUGAGCCAUGGUUGUGCCACUGCACUUCAGCCUGGGCAACACAGUGAGAUCCUGUCUCAA
rnacentral:SRP_RNA from 1 species